rnacentral:ncRNA from 1 species
GUUGUUGCGAUGUCAAUCCUGCUCAGUACGAGAGGAACCGCAGGUUCAGACAUUUGGUUCAGGCGCUCGGCUGAUGAGCCGGUGGUGUGAGGCUACCAUCUAAAGGAUUAUGACUGAACGCCUCUAAGUCAGAACCCCGCCCAGAGAGCAAGGAU